GAUUACAUGCUUCCAACUUCCAAGUUCGAACAAUUUCCGCAAUAACAGCCUCGCAGCUCCUGAUAAAACAAACCCGAAGAGGCUUCCCAGCUCACCAAAUUCAUCUCUUAAUUAUUUAACACAUACACAUAGAUGAGCUUGAAGUACAGUAUAGCAUUACAUGUUUAUUUCACUUGAGUGAAAUUAGUAUUACUCACAUACUUGUGUCAAUUAGCAGGCAGCAUUUAGCAUGACUAGCAUUAACCUAGCUAGCUGGUGUAAACUUCAAACUAGACUUGUAAACUUUAAGUAUUAACCUAGCUAUUUGUUCUUUGUCAGAAACUUCCAAUUGCAUAGGCACUCCAUCAUGGUGAUGGAGGCGGCGGUGGUGGUGGACAUGGUAUUUUAGCACAGAUUACAAUUGAACCCAUGCAUUCCCGGCGAUUGGGCUUUGGACGAAUCACCUAAAACCCGCCUUCCUGAUUAAAACGCACACCACACAACACAAUUUUAGAAGUAGCAUAUGAACCUUAUUUGUUGGAUUAGCUUGAAAAUAAACUGGUACAAGCCUACCUGCUAGAAAUGCUGCCCAAAAGUACUAUACACUUGUUUAAAAUAAAUCUUUCGAUAGAAACAAAAUGUAAUUCUUCCUAGGAAGUUAGAAUUAUUGAAGCAUAAAAGAAAAAAUUCAUUUCAUAACUUGAAAUGAAACAUAGAGAAAAUAGGCUAAUGGCCCUUACAGACAUAUAUACCUGCACCAAGUCCCAGCAAAGCAGUUGGCAUAGCAAGAACCACUAGAAAUACUAGCACAAUCACCAAAAGAAGAGACUGAGCAGAUGGCCUUAGCUUUCUCAUCUCUUUGUUUCUUACUUCCACAGUUGUAUUCUAGAAUCCUGAUAAACCUUCACCUUAUCUCUUAGUAAUAACUGGUGUUGCAUUGCAUAUUGCUCUCUCUCUUAUAUGAACAGUCCAG
rnacentral:lncRNA from 1 species